UACAGAGGUCUCGAGCGUUAGGCGGAAUCACUGGGCUUAAAGCGUGUGUAGGCGGGGCGUUAAGUGCCUUGUGAAAUCCCAUGGCUCAACCAUGGAACUGCUGGGCAUACUGGCGAUCUUGUGCCACCUAGGGGCGAGCGGAACAAAUGGUGGAGCGGUGAAAUGCGUAGAUAUCAUUUGGAACGCCAAUGGUGAAAACAGCUCGCUGGGGGUUUGCUGACGCUGAGACACGAAAGCCAGGGGAGCAAACGGG
rnacentral:rRNA from 1 species